rnacentral:tRNA from 1 species
GGUAGGAUGGUCGAAAAUAGGCGGGAGGUUGUAAACCUUCAUAUGGGGGCUAUUCCCCUCCUAUCA